rnacentral:rRNA from 1 species
UGGGGAAUUUUGGACAAUGGGCGAAAGCCUGAUCCAGCAAUGCCGCGUGUGUGAAGAAGGCCUUCGGGUUGUAAAGCACUUUUGUCCGGAAAGAAAUCCUUGGCUCUAAUACAGUCGGGGGAUGACGGUACCGGAAGAAUAAGCACCGGCUAACUACGUGCCAGCAGCCGCGGUAAUACGUAGGGUGCAAGCGUUAAUCGGAAUUACUGGACGUAAAGCGUGCGCAGGCGGUUUGCUAAGACCGAUGUGAAAUCCCCGGGCUCAACCUGGGAACUGCAUUGGUGACUGGCAGGCUAGAGUAUGGCAGAGGGGGGUUAGAAUUCCACGUGUAGCAGUGAAAUGCGUAGAGAUGUGGAGGAAUACCGAUGGCGAAGGCAGCCCCCUGGGCCAAUACUGACGCUCAUGCACGAAAGCGUGGGGAGCAAACAGGAUUAGAUACCCUGGUAGUCCACGCCCUAAACGAUGUCAACUAGUUGUUGGGGAUUCAUUUCCUUAGUAACGUAGCUAACGCGUGAAGUUGACCGCCUGGGGAGUACGGUCGCAAGAUUAAAACUCAAAGGAAUUGACGGGGUCAUAGCUGUUU